rnacentral:rRNA from 1 species
UACGUAGGGUCCGAGCGUUGUCCGGAAUUACUGGGCGUAAAGCGAGUGUAGGUGGUUGUCCAAGUUGGAUGUGAAAGCCUUGAGCUCAACUCAAGAAAUGCAUUCAGGACUGGGCGACUAGAGGACCGGAGAGGAUAGUGGAAUUCCCAGUGUAGUGGUGAAAUACGUAGAGAUUGGGAAGAACACCAGUGGCGAAGGCGGCUAUCUGGACGGUUUCUGACACUAAGACUCGAAAGCGUGGGGAGCAAACAGG